rnacentral:rRNA from 1 species
AAGGGGCUUCGGCCCUGAGUAGAGUGGCAAACGGGUGAGUAACGCGUGGGUGACCUACCUUCGAGCGGGGGAUAACGUUCCGAAAGGGACGCUAAUACCGCAUGACAUCCUGUCUUUAGACAGACGGAGAUCAAAGCCGGGGAUCGCAAGACCUGGCACUUGAAGAGGGGCCCGCGUCCGAUUAGCUAGUUGGUGGGGUAAUGGCUCACCAAGGCUCCGAUCGGUAUCCGGCCUGAGAGGGCGGACGGACACACUGGGACUGAGACACGGCCCAGACUCCUACGGGAGGCAGCAGUGGGGAAUUGUUCGCAAUGGGCGCAAGCCUGACGACGCAACGCCGCGUGGAGGAUGAAGAUUUUCGGA